UGAGGCCCCAGGUCAGGUGGGAUUACCCGCUGAAU
rnacentral:rRNA from 1 species